rnacentral:rRNA from 1 species
AACUCUCAACAACGGAUAUCUUGGCUCUCGCAACGAUGAAGAACGCAGCGAAAUGCGAUACGUAGUGUGAAUUGCAGAAUUCCGUGAAUCAUCAAAUCUUUGAACGCAAAUUGCGCCCAAUGCUUCGGCUGAGGGCAUGUUUGCCUCAGCGUCG